rfam:Stegodyphus mimosarum contig41682, whole genome shotgun sequence.
GCCUUCGUGGUGUAGUGGUCAGCACGCUCGACGCGUAACCGAGAGGUCCGUGGUUCGAUUCCCGGCGAAAGCG